rnacentral:rRNA from 1 species
AUUGAACGCUGGCGGCAGGCCUAACACAUGCCAGUCGAGCGGAUGAAGGGAGCUUGCUCCUGGAUUCAGCGGCGGACGGGUGAGUAAUGCCUAGGAAUCUGCCUGGUAGUGGGGGAUAACGUCCGGAAACGGGCGCUAAUACCGCAUACGUCCUGAGGGAGAAAGUGGGGGAUCUUCGGACCUCACGCUAUCAGAUGAGCCUAGGUCGGAUUAGCUAGUUGGUGGGGUAAAGGCCUACCAAGGCGACGAUCCGUAACUGGUCUGAGAGGAUGAUCAGUCAACAUGGAACUGGGACACGGUCCAGGCGACUACGGGAGGCAGCAGUGGGGAAUAUUGGACAAUGGGCGAAAGCCUGAUCCAGCCAUGCCGCGUGUGUGAAGAAGGUCUUCGGAUUGUAAAGCACUUUAAGUUGGGAGGAAGGGCAGUAAGUUAAUACCUUGCUGUUUUGACGUUACCAACAGAAUAAGCACCGGCUAACUUCGUG